rnacentral:lncRNA from 1 species
UCUCAAAAGCAGUAGCACAACUUGAAGUCUCCCUAUAGACCCUUGGUGUAGGCAUGAAAACAAACUCUGGGCCUUGACUUGCUUGACUACAUUGGGGUGAAAACAAGACAUCCUAGCCAUGCAUUUACAGAUUCCAUGAAAUUAUUGUCAACUCUUUGGUUCUUACAUACUGUGUCAAAAUAGUCUCUACACCAUGCUUGAGGAGAAUAUUUGAGUGAAGCUUCAGCAGCUUCCUUAUCCAGUUUGCCUAUGCUCUUCAACUGGUCCUUGAAGUCUUCCU